rnacentral:rRNA from 1 species
GACAGAGGAUGCAAGCGUUAUCCGGAAUGAUUGGGCGUAAAGCGUCUGUAGGUGGCUUUUUAAGUCCGCCGUCAAAUCCCAGGGCUCAACCCUGGACAGGCGGUGGAAACUACCAAGCUGGAGUACGGUAGGGGUAGAGGGAAUUUCCAGUGGAGCGGUGAAAUGCGUAGAUAUUGGAAAAGACCACCGAUGGCGAAGGCACUCUACUGGGCCACUACUGACACUGAGAGACGAAAGCUAGGGGAGCAAAUGGG